rnacentral:lncRNA from 1 species
UGCGGCAGCUCUGGGAACUGACAGGAGAUGUUCUGGUAGGUUUUGAAGUCCAUAUUUCAGCAGUCCAAAUCCCUUCUCCCAUCCGCCUCCUAUUUCCCCACCCACUCACCCCAAACAGAAAGCGGGAAGAGCCUGCUAUUCCACCCCUUCUCCCAUCCGCCUCCUAUUCCCCCACCCACUCACCCCAAACAGAAAGUGGGUAGAGCCUGCUAUUCCAUUACUCCAACAGACUUAUUUUUCGUGCAUCCAAGUGGCAGGCUUUUUCAUCAAGCUUCAACAGUUAGUCGAUUCAUUAUGUUUGUGUUAUCUGAAGUUUCUGAUGGUUUAGGGAAGUUCUUUUGAUCUUCAAGUACUAUAUUAUAUGCUUUUCUUCAAAGUUUUCACAUACUAUUGAUGUUGCUAGUUCUCAAUUCGCCAGUAUCUGAAACUGAUAACUUG